NNNNNNNNNNAUAUACCUGAUGAAACUUCUGCCACACCGGGCACUAAUUCUUUAUCUGAUUGUCUCUUCCACCAGGCUGGAGGAUCCUGAAGCCAAGUUCUGGGCUGUCUCCCUGGAUCUCAAAGGUCCCCCGUGGGGUCAGGCCAUAUAGCAUGCACUCAGGCAAUGCCUGCUGAGUGAAUAAGGGAUUUGUGACUCAAGCAAAUGAGGGGACAAAUGGAGGUCGAGGUGAGUGAGGGAGGGAGGGAGGUGUUAGCACUGGGAUCAUAGUCUGGGGACGAACGCUGAGAGGAAGGAAGGGCUGGGGCCAGGCACGGGAAUGGGCAAGACCCACAGACAACCUGGUGUUCCAGUGACAGAGGCAGGGGUGGGGGGUCUCUGAUGGGCAACAAUUCCAUGGUAGGGGUACAUGCACAGAAGGGCUUAGUAGGCACCCUUCCCUCCAGUGGUCAAAUGUUCUGCUAUUUCUUUACCCAGAUUGUCUGUGUGCAGAAUGCUGUCCGAAUGUCCCGGCAUGCCUGUGAUUUGGGGCCUGUCUUUCCCAGGGAUGGUGAAUGCUGCAGAGAAGUGAGAAAAUUGAGACCCACAGGGAAGAGAGCGGCCAAUGGCCACAUGGCAAGUGGUGGCCUGGGAAGGUCCAG
rnacentral:lncRNA from 1 species